rnacentral:lncRNA from 1 species
GGUCUUAACAAAUUUGAGAAGGAUUUCAAACCAAAAUCAAUCGGGAUUCAAACUUUUUGAAUGGGAGACAUCCUUUUAUUUUUUUAUCCCAUAUUGGUAAAAUAGAAAAUUUCUUUCCAUCCUAACAUCGAUAAAUAAAAAUCAAUACAUUUAUCUUAAAAUAUCUCUCUUCACUCCAUAAUUCUUAUAAAGGGUCUAUGUGACAGGC